GACUUUGUAGCUCGGGUGGUAGAGCGCGUGCCGCGUUUGGGCCUGGUGUUUCUGUCGCUGGUUCGAAUCCAGCCGAAGUCC